UGCGUAGGCGGAUUAAUAAGUCAGUGGUGAAAACCUGCAGCUUAACUGUAGAACUGCCAUUGAAACUGUUAUUCUUGAGUACGGUCAAGGUAGGCGGAAUGUGUAAUGUAGCGGUGAAAUGCUUAGAUAUUACACAGAACACCGAUUGCGAAGGCAGCUUACUGGGCCAUUACUGACGCUGAGGCACGAAAGCGUGGGGAGCGAACAGGAUUAGAUACCCUGGUAGUCC
rnacentral:rRNA from 1 species